rnacentral:rRNA from 1 species
UACGUAGGGGGCAAGCGUUGUUCGGAGUUACUGGGCGUAAAGGGCGCGUAGGCGGCAUGGCAAGUCGGGAGUGAAAGGCCUGGGCUCAACCGAGGAACUGCUUUCGAGACUGCCAAGCUAGAGUGCGGAAGGGGCAUCUGGAAUUCCCAGUGUAGCGGUGAAAUGCGUAGAUAUUGGGAAGAACACCUGAGGCGAAGGCGGGAUGCUGGGCCGACACUGACGCUGAGGCGCGAAAGCCAGGGGAGCAAACGGG